GCAUCCUGCUUUUGCCAUGCUGGCUGUCUGAGCCCUUCGCUUUGUCACAACAUCAUAAACUGCCUGGCAGUGCCUGUAACUCCCGGCGAGGUCGGUACCCUUUUCAAGAACCGCGCUCUUUUCCUUCCUGGUGUUCUAGGCACACAGCUGUGCCGGCAAAUGCUCUGGUCUUCUCAGUCCCGUUACUCUCUGUGAGGAAACCUGCAGGCUGUUUUCCAGGAAAGAAGGUUUCUGUGGGUCAACAUUCCAGGCUUCCUUGGGUACCCUACCUCACCCCUCGCAAGGCCGCAGUGAAGGCUGAGGUCUCAUCUGAAGGCCUGGCUGGCAGAGGAGGAUCCGCUUCCAAGCUUUCUCAUAGUCAUUGUCAGGAUUCAGUUCCUUGUGGGCACCAGCUUCCAACACACCAAGUGGGAUAGAGCAAGACGGAGCCAGCGUAGUGAGAGUUUUUAUGCAUGACCAGGAGCUCAUCAGCUGAAGAAGGAUCAUAAGAGGCUCUGGGCGGCAAGAGGCCAGCUGGGGGGGCCCAGACUUGGAGGAGAGCCUGCAGCAUCAGGGAAAGAGUGUGGCCAUAUCCCCUGCAUACUUACUGGUGCCUAUGCGGUGUUAGGUGUUGAUGGAUGAGCAUGUACAGAUCGUGCUUGAAACUCACGUGCUCUUCAGCACCGUGCCAUGAGGAAAGUCUCUUCACGCCCAUUUUACGGAUGUAGAAUCCAAGACGCUGAGGAGUAAGUCAGAGGUCGCCUGGUGUGAGAGGUGAA